rnacentral:rRNA from 1 species
GACGAACCGUGCGAACGUUGUUCGGAAUCACUGGGCUUAAAGGGCUCGUAGGCGGCCAACUAAGUCGGAUGUGAAAUCCCCAGGCUCAACCUGGGAACUGCAUCCGAUACUGGAUGGCUUGAAUUCGGGAGAGGGAUGCAGAAUUCCAGGUGUAGCGGUGAAAUGCGUAGAUAUCUGGAGGAAUACCGGUGGCGAAGGCGGCAUCCUGGACCGACAUUGACGCUGAGGAGCGAAAGCCAGGGGAGCAAACGGG